UACUACCUAGUGACCGAUAGUGAACCAGUACCGUGAGGGAAAGGUGAAAAGCACCCCGGGAGGGGAGUGAAAUAGAACCUGAAACCGUGUGCCUACAACAAGUUAGAGCCCGUUAAUGGGUGAUAGCGUGCCUUUUGUAGAAUGAACCGGCGAGUUACGAUUGCAUGCGAGGUUAAGUUGAAGAGACGGAGCCGUAGCGAAAGCGAGUCUGAAUAGGGCGAUAGAGUAUGUAGUCGUAGACCCGAAACCAUGUGAUCUACCCAUGUCCAGGUUGAAGGUGCGGUAAAACGCACUGGAGGACCGAACCAGGACACGUUAAAAAGUGUUUGGAUGAGGUGUGGGUAGCGGAGAAAUUCCAAACGAACUUGGAGAUAGCUGGUUCUCUCCGAAAUAGCUUUAGGGCUAGCCUCGGAAGUAAGAAUGAUGGAGGUAGAGCACUGUUUGGACUAGGGGCCCAUCUCGGGUUACCGAAUUCAGAUAAACUCCGAAUGCCAUUCAUUUAUAUCCGGGAGUCAGACUGCGAGUGAUAAGAUCCGUAGUCGAAAGGGAAACAGCCCAGAUCACCAGUUAAGGUCCCCAAAUCUAUGCUAAGUGGAAAAGGAUGUGGAGUUGCGUAGACAACUAGGAUGUUGGCUUAGAAGCAGCCACCAUUUAAAGAGUGCGUAAUAGCUCACUAGUCGAGUGGCGCUGCGCCGAAAAUUUACCGGGGCUAAGCAUAGUACCGAAACUGUGGAUGUACGUAAGUACGUGGUAGGAGAGCGUUCUAAGUGCGGCGAAGUUAGAUCGAGAGGACUAAUGGAGCGCUUAGAAGUGAGAAUGCCGGUAUGAGUAGCGAAAGAUAGGUGAGAAUCCUAUCCGCCGAAAGACUAAGGUUUCCUGGGGCAGGCUCGUCCGCCCAGGGUAAGUCGGGACCUAAGGUAAGGCCGAGAGGCGUAGCCGAUGGACAACAGGUAGAAAUUCCUGUACUGAAAUUGUUCGAUAUGAGCAAAGGAGGGACGCAGGAGGCUAAUGACGCAUGUUGCUGGAAAUACAUGUGCAAGCAGUAAGAAAAAAGAUGAGUCAAAUGCUUGUCUUUAGAUUUCAAGCUGUGAUGCGGAGCGAAAUAAAAGUAGCGAAGGUCAUGAUGUCACACUGCCAAGAAAAGCUUCUAGCCAGAGAGAACAUACCCGUACCGCAAACCGACACAGGUAGUCGAGUGGAGAACACUCAGGUGAGCGAGAGAACUCUCGUUAAGGAACUCGGCAAAAUGACCCCGUAACUUCGGGAGAAGGGGUGCUGAUAGUAAAAUAUCAGCCGCAGUGAAUAGGCCCAAACAACUGUUUAUCAAAAACACAGGUAUCUGCAAAAUCGUAAGAUGACGUAUAGGUGCUGACACCUGCCCGGUGCUGGAAGGUUAAGAGGAGAGCUUAGCGUGAGCGAAG
rnacentral:rRNA from 1 species